AUGAACGCUAGCUACAGGCUUAACACAUGCAAGUCGAGGGGCAGCAUGAACUUAGCUUGCUAAGUUUGAUGGCGACCGGCGCACGGGUGAGUAACACGUAUCCAACCUGCCGAUGACUCGGGGAUAGCCUUUCGAAAGAAAGAUUAAUACCCGAUGGCAUAGUUCUUCCGCAUGGUAGAACUAUUAAAGAAUUUCGGUCAUCGAUGGGGAUGCGUUCCAUUAGGUUGUUGGCGGGGUAACGGCCCACCAAGCCUUCGAUGGAUAGGGGUUCUGAGAGGAAGGUCCCCCACAUUGGAACUGAGACACGGUCCAAACUCCUACGGGAGGCAGCAGUGAGGAAUAUUGGUCAAUGGACGAGAGUCUGAACCAGCCAAGUAGCGUGAAGGAUGACUGCCCUAUGGGUUGUAAACUUCUUUUAUACGGGAAUAAAGUGAGGCACGUGUGCCUUUUUGUAUGUACCGUAUGAAUAAGGAUCGGCUAACUCCGUGCCAGCAGCCGCGGUAAUACGGAGGAUCCGAGCGUUAUCCGGAUUUAUUGGGUUUAAAGGGAGCGUAGGCGGACGCUUAAGUCAGUUGUGAAAGUUUGCGGCUCAACCGUAAAAUUGCAGUUGAUACUGGGUGUCUUGAGUACAGUAGAGGCAGGCGGAAUUCGUGGUGUAGCGGUGAAAUGCUUAGAUAUCACGAAGAACUCCGAUUGCGAAGGCAGCCUGCUGGACUGUAACUGACGCUGAUGCUCGAAAGUGUGGGUAUCAAACAGGAUUAGAUACCCUGGUAGUCCACACAGUAAACGAUGAAUACUCGCUGUUUGCGAUAUACAGUAAGCGGCCAAGCGAAAGCGUUAAGUAUUCCACCUGGGGAGUACGCCGGCAACGGUGAAACUCAAAGGAAUUGACGGGGGCCCGCACAAGCGGAGGAACAUGUGGUUUAAUUCGAUGAUACGCGAGGAACCUUACCCGGGCUUGAAUUGCAACUGAAUGAUGUGGAGACAUGUCAGCCGCAAGGCAGUUGUGAAGGUGCUGCAUGGUUGUCGUCAGCUCGUGCCGUGAGGUGUCGGCUUAAGUGCCAUAACGAGCGCAACCCUUAUCGAUAGUUACCAUCAGGUGAUGCUGGGGACUCUGUCGAGACUGCCGUCGUAAGAUGUGAGGAAGGUGGGGAUGACGUCAAAUCAGCACGGCCCUUACGUCCGGGGCUACACACGUGUUACAAUGGGGGGUACAGAAGGCAGCUACACGGCGACGUGAUGCUAAUCCCGAAAGCCUCUCUCAGUUCGGAUUGGAGUCUGCAACCCGACUCCAUGAAGCUGGAUUCGCUAGUAAUCGCGCAUCAGCCACGGCGCGGUGAAUACGUUCCCGGGCCUUGUACACACCGCCCGUCACACCACGAGAGUUUGUAACACCCGAAGUCGGUGAGGUAACCUUUUUGGAGCCAGCCGCCUAAGGUGGGAUAGAUGAUUGGGGUG
rnacentral:rRNA from 1 species